rnacentral:rRNA from 1 species
GACUACUGGUGUAUCUAAUCCUGUUUGCUCCCCACGCUUUCGCGCCUCACCGUCAGUUGUCGUCCAGCAGGCCGCCUUCGCCACUGGUGUUCCUCCUAAUAUCUACGCAUUUCACCGCUACACUAGGAAUUCCGCCUGCCUCUCCGAUACUCAAGACCAACAGUUUCAAAUGCAGUUCGGGGGUUGAGCCCCCGGAUUUCACAUCUGACUUGUCAGCCCGGCUACACGCCCUGUACACCCAGUAAAUCCGGACAACGCUUGCCACCUACGUAUUACCGCGGCUGCUGGCACGUAGUUAGCCGUGGCUUAUUCGACAGGUACCGUCUUCUGCUCUUCCCUGUCAAAAGAAGUUUACAACCCGAAAGCCUUCUUCCUUCACGCGGCUUUGCUGGGUCAGGCUUGCGCCCAUUGCCCAAUAUUCCCCACUGCUGCCUCCCGUAGG